AUGCAAAGACUCUGUUAUCUCUUAAAUUUAUCCACUGCCAACUUUAUCCUAUGGUCAUGGAUAAAGUUUGCAUUAGUCUUUGCCAGCCAGGUUCCCCAAAACUACAAGUUCCAGUCCUUUUAUUCUGCCUUGGUCAUAAUGUUAAUUUUUCUUCCAUAUGUUAAUUUUUUUGUCAUAUGUAGGCCACCAGAUAACUUGUGUAUGUUCAUCUAG
rnacentral:rRNA from 1 species